rnacentral:lncRNA from 1 species
CCAGCAUACGUAUAUAUACAUUCCAACAGUUCAAGUGUCAAUCUAGGGCAAAACAUCAGAGCGACUACUAAGAAUUUACAAAGGAGUGAAUCCUUUUACAAAAUAAAAUCUUACAUCAAAGAAAGGCGCAGAAGAUGGGAAGUAGCCCGGUGGUGGAUUCUUGUGCACGUCUACUGCCUGGGGGAGCAAAACAACAAAAAGGGUGAGUGGACCCAAAAAUAAAGUUUAGAAAAUAACAUAUGAACAUACUAACCCCACUGUAAAAACAGUUAUACAAACUAGCUUAUUUUAUUUAUUUCUGAAAUCGACGCAUGUAUAUAACUAUAUAUUUGAAAACAGUUGAAAACUAUCAUUUAGGUGUACCCCUAUUUCCGUCAAAUCCUUAUAUCCGUCAAUUCCUUGCAUCACCAUGGGUGACACAUACUCGCAGGUCUCAGUGACACGAAGUCAGUCCGAGCCGCAACUAGCAGGAUGCAGGGGACCGUAGUUCACCUGAUCCGCAUUACUCGCUCCACACAAGUUUGAGUACCAAGGAACUCGUGGGGCAACUGUCAAGCAUACUGACUAAAUCGAAGGCAACAAAUAUAAUCCGAAGGCAACAUUUAAU